AUACAUGGCACCUGCCUGCACAUCUGGCUCUUCUGCUUGCACUUAAGUAGACACACAGGCUUACUAGAGUUACCAGGUAAUGGAAAAGGACCGGAUAAGGAGGUCUGCCGGCCAUGUCUUCUGGCCAUGCUGCCAGUUCUUUAAUGCAAAUCCUCAGCACUGAAGAUUACUGAGUUGGGUAAUGUUCACUCAAGGCUGCAAACACUUCCAGGAAUUGUUUCACUGAUUUAUGAGGAGAGGUUGUGCAGUCCAGCUGCACAUUAGAGCAACCGAUGUCUGCCACAGGGCUAUAGAAGAUGCACUGGCCUCUGUCAGUAAGUGAGCCUGAUGUCUAAGGGUAUUGAAGAGAGAGGGACUGAAAGAAAUGGGGUACCAUAUCCACGUCACCCAAGAAACCACGCUGUGAAUGCUGCGAAGUACAAGCAGGAUCGAAGAGUCAGACCCACACCAUUCCUGCUCGCGAUGACACCCUGGCAUCUGAAGAACAACAUGACACCCACCACAAAACGCUGCUGUUGGCUAGCGCUGUCUUAAACGGUAUGAUUCAAAGCCCUGCGUAGUGAGUGCCACGAGGACAAAUAUGCACGCACAAUUAUCUCCGUGCUGAGAGAUGGGGCUGAAUGUAGGAGUGAAAUAAUUACAAAGCGCUGGAGCAAGAGCAGCAAACAGCAGGAAAAUCACCUGUGAAUAGAUGUGAGAAACUGGAAGUGUACUCCAGUGUUUGUGUGGUCAUCAAAAUCAAACGUUCAGGAGCUGGAAAUCCAACUGCCGGGAGGGCAGACUGAUACAUUUAUAGGCACGUAUAGCCCGUGCCUUAAACUUUGAGUCUGCAACGUUGUUAGUGAGGUAUCCUCCUUUAUAAUGCUUGGCAUUUGUUCCCUUGGCAUUUAAAGAAGAUGGGCUGUUUUAAUUACAAUUUGAGCGAAUUCUUUAAAAGAAAAAAAAAACCAAACUGCAAAAUGACUGAUGCAAAUCCCGGCCACUCGUGAGCACAAUGAAAUUCUACUGAGCAGAGAGGACACCGGGAGAGGCUCCCGAUCAGCUGCAGCAGAGAAUGCCCUGCGCUACGCAGCCCUCAGACGCCGGGAUUCUGAAAUACGAAUUAGACCUCAAAUGCAAAUCAACCUCCGAAGGGGGAGAAGGAAAAAAAAAAUAAUAAAAAAAAAAAAUCAGAGAGACAUACCGAGUCAAACGCUCCUUUUUCUGCCUAUCUCGUCCCCAGUGUUAAAACAGGCAAAACAAAACAAGUGCACAUCAAGAUAGAGCCAAUUAAGGGGAAGGCAGCUCGGAGGGCGGGUGGGAGGCAGCCACCUCGCCGAGCACAUGGGGAGCGGGAGCGCAUCGCCCCACCUCGAGCCGUCCCUGAGCCUUCCGAGCUCUCCCAGGAGGACAACGGGGAGAGGAAGUAGCUGAGACAGGACGUGGAGCCGAGAGAGCUGCCAGUGGCCACCCAGGCCCCGCAACCCUUGUGAGGGGCAGGGAUGGCGGUGGUAUGGCCACAGGGGCCAUGCGUAGCAAGCCACGUGUCCCCAGCAAAACGACUGUUCCCUUCCUUCAUUCAUUCCCCCAGCUGAAGGCAUUUUCCCUCUGGAGCACAUCCUCCCAAAGGCUUUUUGAAGCAUUCACCUCCACGUAUUUGUAUUUAUUUCCCCAGCCCAGCAUUCGGUCAGGCUGCUCUGAGUGGGGAUCGCAGGUGCCAUCAUGGAGGCCCACGGCCUCGCUGCAAACUGAUUUCCAGGCUGUGACCCGCCCCCCCCCACCCCCCCCCGGGCCAGAGGCUCCCCCGGAGAGUGCGGUCAGAACGGCGGACGGCGCCGUCCAACCUCCCGCAGCCACGAGCACAGCGGAUCCGGCACGGGAGAGUUCGGGCAGCGCGGAGCGGUGCGCUUCGGCCAAGGGUGGCACCGGGAUCCCAGCGCAGUGCCGCACUCCGCGCGGCCGGGCUUUACGCACAGCGCAGUACGCGGGAGGUGUCUUUACGUUUAACGUUUUAAUUUGGACAUGCUAAUUAGGCUGUGGGUCUCCACGGUUCUAUCGGCGGAUAGCUGAUCGCUUCCCUCUGCGAGGAAGUGACUGCUAAAUACAUUUCCCGGCCCCGAUCUCCGUUCCCAGAAGCCCGUCUAGCAGAACCGUCCCGUCGGGCGAAACGGACCUUUAAUAAUGGAAGGCCGAGGGAGGUUCUGCGCAGCGGCGCACCGCCUCGGGCACGGCCCCAACGCGGCCCUCUGCAGCGGAGCCAUCGAAAUAACUCCGUGCCCAGCGAACUUGUUGCUCGCUUUCAGCUCCUCCGCUCACCCCGGCUCGGGUCGGUGCCAGGCGAGGGGCAGAGGCAGCCUGGGGGAGAAGCCGCCGCUGUCGGGGUGAGAAACUUCCCGGGCUCCAAAGCCGCCCGCUCUGGGCGUCGAGGGGCAGCGGCCGCUCCGCUGCUGGGAACUGCGCCCUGGCCAUGUGUUUUUCCCGUGUGGAACGUUGCUCGCAAGUGCGGGAGGUGGAAAGUUUUGUUCACGUCAUUAUCUCAAAGCUUUCCCCGCGCGGUCAGUGGACGCAGAGGCUUCACUCCGUUUUCCGAAUGAAAACCCACGGACGCUUGAUGUGAAAAGUGCAUGCUCCCGUGGGCCGUGCUUUCCCCGAUUACUUUCUUUUUUCUUUUUCUUUUUUUCUUUCACUUUCUUGGCUCCGUCCCGCCAGGAUCUCUACGUUUACGGGCUGUACGGUUUCCAGGGCUCCAAUGGGGCUUUCCCUGAUGGAGGCGAGGAACAGAACUUUCCCACUCGCUCGGAAACUGCCGAGGAUCCGGCGGGGGGAGCACACAAAGAGGCCCCAAAUCCCCCCCGGGGCUCAGGGACAUCCCCUGCAGGUGCAGGACCAAAGCUGCAGGGAUGGCCCAAAGCGGUGCAUGUGUCGCUCUCGUCCCCUAUUAUGAGCGCUACGGGAGUGAAACGGGGGGUGGGGAGCGGGUUCUUGGGACAGCGGUUCUUGAGCCCACGCACGUUGGUGAAGGGAAACGCGGGGCCGUGCGCGCCGUCGGGCUGAGCCAGGGUUAAUGCCUGCGGGCCCAGACACGCUGUGCUCCGGGGGGGGGGGGGUGGUGGUGGCGAGGGGGCUCUGCCAGCUGCUCCCGCAGCGUGGGGAGCGGGAGGGGCGGAAAGGAGGAGCCAUCAGCUUAGGGCACACAAAAACAUUUAAAAAAAUAAAAUAAAAAAAAUAUAUAAAAAGACUACUUUUCCAGGCUUAACACAGCCAUUAAAUAUUAAAAGUUCAAAAAAAAUUAUAUAUAUAUGUAUAUAUAUAAAAGACCACGAGUCGUUUUAUUGCAUCUCCACGGGCUUAAGCGCUUUAUUUGGGCGAUAAAAAAUAUUAAAACAAACAAAUAAAUAAAUCAAAAUCGUGUGUGUAAUUGGUGCCCUCACUCCCUUGACGGCCUCGGAUCCCUCGCAGGUAUCGCCCCCCGAUCCCGCAGCUCCACCCCCAGCAAUCCCG
ensembl:lncRNA